CUUUGGGGUGCGGACUGAGGCCGGGGCGCGGACAGCCCCCAUCCCGGGCAGCCGGGAGCACUUGGUGCGAGCGCAGGCGUUCGUGCAUCGAGCUUGCUGUGGGACCCACCGAAGGCCCCUGCCCUCAAGAAGCACCUAGUAGGAUGGCUUUCCUGUCAAGGGAGCCUUCCUCUUCCUCCCUUGAGUGAUGCUUCCUCUCCGCAGGCCACAUGCCGGGGCCCCAGGAACAGCAGCCCUGGAAGUUCCAUACCCCGGUUUCUCACACAGGGUAUAUGAACCAAGGGCCUGGCGGUGAACUUGCAUGUUGAACAUAAUUUGGGAGGCAACUCCUUAACUCCCAAAAUAGUGUCAGGACAUGGCAAAGGUAGGCCUUCUUAUGAACCACCACCCAGGUGCAAAGAUCACCCAGGAUCCCUUCUCUGUACCACCCAUUCAAUUCUCAUGGCACCCACCUGAGAGGAGAGCGCCCGAGGUCUACACCUGUGCUGUCCAACACCGUCCCUCCUUGCCACGUGACUCUGAAGCAUUUGAAGUGUGACUGGUUCAAAUUGAAGUAUGCUGUAUCAUGCUAUUGGAAGCUAUCAAGACAGGAACACUGCAAAUUAAGGAAAUGUCACAUCAAUUCAACAUUUAUGGAUCUCUGUACAGUGAGGUGCUCUGGAAAGAUAAAUGUGGUUCCUGCAUUUUGUGUUUAGAUUUGAGUAAGACAUGUUUGUAAUUUCUUACUAUAAAACUAUUUUUUUUUUAAAGAUUUAUUUACUUACUUGGAAAUCAGUUAGAGAGAUGGAGAGACAGAGAUCUUCCAUCUGCUGGUUCACUUCCCAGAUGGCCGCAACAGCUGGGGCUGGGGCUGGGGCUGGGCCAUGUCAAAGCCAGGAGCUUCAUCGGGGCCCAAACACUUGGGCCAUGUUCCGCUGCUUCUCCCAGGUUUUCCCAUCAGCAGUGGAACGGUGGACAUUAACGCUGGCCCCCUAAUGGGACUACUUUUUAACCCUUCUUUAAUACAUGUUGAAGUUGAGUAGUUCAUCAACAGUCUACCUAAUUUUUAGUGGAGAACUAGAAGGGACAAUUAUUUCAGUAAACUAAGCUACCAUGAAUUAAGUCAGGAUUAAUCCACAGUCACAAGUACAAUUCAUCCUUUAUUCCAUGUUGGCUUCAUUGAUAGAAAAAUUAAACUAUCAUUUAAAAACAUCAAAUUGCCCUCAUUCAUACCCAAACUAGAGAUCAAGUGAACUGCUUAGGCUUAAAUUUAUGGUUUAAUGAUUUUGUUUUUUUUUUUUAAAGAUUUAUUUAUUUAUUUGAAAGUUAGAGUUACACAGAGAAAGAAGAAGAGGCAGAGAGAUAAAGAGAGGUCUUCCAUCCGCUGGUUCACUCCCCAGUUGGCCACAACAGCUGGAACUGCACCGAUCUAAAGCCAGGAGAUUCUUCUAGGUCUCCCAUGCCAACGCAGGGGCCCAAGGACUUGGGCCAUCUUCUGCUUUCCCAGGCCAUAGCAGAGAGCUGGAUCAGAAGUAGAACAGCAGGGACUUGAACUGGCACCCAUAUGGGAUGCCGGCACUGCAGGUGGUGGCUUUACCCGCUAAGCCACAGCACCAGCCUCAAUGAUUUUCAAAACAGCCAAAGUACUCACUAUGUAGAAAGAAAGAGAAAGGCAAUGAUGAUGUGUCUCUAAAUUCCUAAAUUUAAAAACAAAACUAUUUAACCCCAGCUCAGAGAAGCAGGUAGAGCAGUGCUCCUUUCUGCUGCCCCUGUGCACAAACAAAAUCCAAUUUGGGUUAUAAGCCAAAAUUUUAAAAAUUAUAUCACAGAAAUAACUCUAAAAAAUCUUUUUUGGGGGGCCGGCACUGUGGUGUAGCGGGUAAAGCCAUCAGCUACAGUGCCAGCAUCCCAUAUGGGUGCCAGUUUGAGUCCUGGCUGCCCCACUCCCAAUCCAGCUCUCUGCUAUGGCCUGGGAAAGCAGUAGAUGAUGGCCCAAGUCCUUGGGCUCCUACACCCACGUAGGAGACCAGGAAGAAGCUCCUGGCUCCUGGCUUCAGUCGUUGUGGCCAUUUGGGGAGUUAACCAGCAGAUGGAAGACUCUCUUUCUCUGCCUCUGCCUUUCAAAUAAAUAAAUAUUUUUAAAAGAAAAUUAGGCUAAAUUAUUUCUAAAAAUAAAAAUUGGGCGGCCAGUAUUGCAGCACAUCAGGUUAAGCCACCACUGGCAACACCUUCACCCCAUAUCAGAGCCCACGUUCAAGUCCCAGGUGCUCAGCCUCUGAUCCAGCUCCCUGCUAAUGUGCCUAGGAAGGCAGCAGAUGGCGGCCUGAGUGCUUGGACCCCUGCCACCCAUGUGGAAGAACCAGAUGGAGUUCCUAGCUCUUGGCUUCCCCCUGGCCCAGUCCCAGCUGUUGCAGCAUUUGAGGAGUGAACCAGCAGAUGGAAGAUUGAGCUGUCUGUCCUUCUCUGUCACUCUGCCUUUCAAAUAAAUAAAAAUAAAUCUUGUUCAAUAAAAAGAUGUUUAAAAAAUUAA